CGCUGGCGGCAGGCCUAACACAUGCAAGUCGAGCGGCAGCGCGUCCGACCACCCUCGGGUGGUCGGAUGGCGGCGAGCGGCGGACGGGUGAGGAAUGCAUCGGAAUCUGCCUCGUUGUGGGGGAUAACGUAGGGAAACUUACGCUAAUACCGCAUACGACCUACGGGUGAAAGUGGGGGACCUUCGGGCCUCACGCGAUGAGAUGAGCCGAUGCCGGAUUAGCUAGUUAGCGGGGUAAAGGCCCACCAAGGCGACGAUCCGUAGCUGGUCUGAGAGGAUGAUCAGCCACACUGGGACUGAGACACGGCCCAGACUCCUACGGGAGGCAGCAGUGGGGAAUAUUGGACAAUGGGCGCAAGCCUGAUCCAGCAAUGCCGCGUGUGUGAAGAAGGCCUGCGGGUUGUAAAGCACUUUCAGUGGGGAAGAACAGAUUCGGGUCAAUACCCCGGAGCCCUGACGUUACCCACAGAAGAAGCACCGGCUAACUCCGUG
rnacentral:rRNA from 1 species